AUUGAACGCUGGCGGCAGGCCUAACACAUGCAAGUCGAGCGGAUGAAGGGAGCUUGCUCCCUGAUUUAGCGGCGGACGGGUGAGUAAUGCCUAGGAAUCUGCCUGGUAGUGGGGGACAACGUUUCGAAAGGAACGCUAAUACCGCAUACGUCCUACGGGAGAAAGUGGGGGAUCUUCGGACCUCACGCUAUCAGAUGAGCCUAGGUCGGAUUAGCUAGUUGGUGAGGUAAAGGCUCACCAAGGCGACGACCCGUAACUGGUCUGAGAGGAUGAUCAGGCACACUGGAACUGAGAGACGGUCCAGACUCCUACGGGAGGCAGCAGUAGGGAAUAUUGGACAAUGGGCGAAAGCCUGAUCCAGCCAUGCCGCGUGUGUGAAGAAGGUCUUCGGAUUGUAAAGCACUUUAAGUUGGGAGGAAGGGCAGUAAGUUAAUACCUUGCUGUUUUGACGUUACCGACAGAAUAAGCACCGGCUAACUUCGUGCCAGCAGCCGCAGUAACAC
rnacentral:rRNA from 1 species